GUACUCCGUGACGUCAUGGAGGUGGGCGGGGACACUGAAGGGGCGUCAGCGGCUGAAGCGAUAAGCAUUGUGGGUAGAGCCGUGUGCGCAGGCGUGCUGCUGACGGUGGCCUUGUACCUGCUGCGCGCUCUGUGUCACAGCAUGGCCUGGAAAUGCGGCGGGGACAGUCAAGCGGAGCUCGUCAACAACCUGCGCAAAAAUGGAAUUAUCAAGACAGAACGGGUUUAUCAAGUAAUGUUAGCCACAGACCGUUGUCACUAUGUAAAGAGUAACCCCUACACAGAUUCCCCCCAGUCUAUAGGUUUCCAAGCUACGAUCAGUGCCCCUCAUAUGCAUGCAUAUGCCCUGGAACUGCUGCAUGAUCAAUUGUCUGAAGGAGCUAAAGCACUUGAUGUAGGUUCUGGCAGUGGAAUCCUCACAUCUUGUUUUGCACGGAUGGUUGGCCCAAGUGGAAGAGUGGUAGGGAUUGAACAUAUCAGAGAACUGGUAAACGACUCCACGACUAAUGUAAAGAAAGAUGAUGCAUCUUUGCUUUCCUCAGGAAGAGUAAAAUUUGUAGUGGGUGAUGGAAGACAAGGGUACCCAGAGGAAGCUCCUUAUGAUGCCAUUCACGUGGGAGCUGCUGCAAAUACAGUACCACAGGCACUACUUGACCAGUUAAAGCCAGGUGGGAGGAUGAUUUUACCAGUCGGCCCUCCAGGCGGAAACCAGAUGUUGGAGCAGUACGAUAAGCUAGAAAAUGGCAGCAUCAGUAAGAAGCCUCUGAUGGGAGUGAUCUACGUGCCUUUAACCGAUCAAGAAAAGCAGGUGCCAAGGUGGAAGUGAUUCUGCAUAACCCAUCUUUCUCAGAAACAAGGUGGUAACCUCAUCCUUGACAAUCGACUCCAACAACUUCCCAACCACCGAUGUCAAGCUAACAGGGAUGAAAUGUGAAGCUUCAUCUGUGUGCUCAGAACCUGACAUUAAUGUGGAGUGGAUAUCUCCUGUUCUAAAUGCUUUGAAAAAUGACAGCAUUGCAGCUUGUUUUGGACUUAUACACACACAAUCACACACUCAUACUUAAUGAUUUGUGUGGAGCAGUGUUCUUUUAAUAGUUCAACAAACUAGCCUGGGAAAAGAACUGCUGUGAAGAGUAAAAAUAAUACAUCCAGCGCUGGGAGAAGUUUUCUGAGGCUUGGUUUAGUUUUCAAACUGGCAAGAGUGAAGCUACAGCAAGGAAGGCCAGUAGAAGUGUGGUGUGGCUAGUUAACCCCCCACCCCCACCACCCCAAAUGAUAAA